GACGAACGCUGGCGGCGUGCUUAACACAUGCAAGUCGAACGGAAAGGCCCUGCUUUUGUGGGGUGCUCGAGUGGCGAACGGGUGAGUAACACGUGAGUAACCUGCCCUUGACUUUGGGAUAACUUCAGGAAACUGGGGCUAAUACCGGAUAGGAGCUCCUGCUGCAUGGUGGGGGUUGGAAAGUUUCGGCGGUUGGGGAUGGACUCGCGGCUUAUCAGCUUGUUGGUGGGGUAAUGGCUUACCAAGGCUUUGACGGGUAGCCGGCCUGAGAGGGUGACCGGCCACAUUGGGACUGAGGUACGGCCCAGACUCCUACGGGAGGCAGCAGUGGGGAAUAUUGCACAAUGGGCGGAAGCCUGAUGCAGCAACGCCGCGUGCGGGAUGACGGCCUUCGGGUUGUAAACCGCUUUCGCCUGUGACGAAGCGUGAGUGACGGUAAUGGGUAAAGAAGCACCGGCUAACUACGUG
rnacentral:rRNA from 1 species